rnacentral:rRNA from 1 species
UUUACUGACGCUAAAGCUCGAAGGUGCGGGUAUCGAACAGGAUUAGAUACCCUGGUAGUCCGCACGGUAAACGAUGGAUGCCCGCUGUUCGCGAUAGACUGUGAGCGGCCAAGAGAAAUCGUUAAGCAUCCCACCUGGGGAGUACGCCGGCAACGGUGAAACUCAAAGGAAUUGACGGGGGCCCGCACAAGCGGAGGAACAUGUGGUUUAAUUCGAUGAUACGCGAGGAACCUUACCCGGGCUUGAACUGCCAGCGAACGAUACAGAGAUGUUGAGGCCCUUCGGGGCGCUGGUGGAGGUGCUGCAUGGUUGUCGUCAGCUCGUGCCGUGAGGUGUCGGCUUAAGUGCCAUAACGAGCGCAACCCUUUUCAUUAGUUGCCAUCAGGUAAUGCUGGGCACUCUGGUGAUACUGCCACCGUAAGGUGUGAGGAAGGUGGGGAUGACGUCAAAUCAGCACGGCCCUUACGUCCGGGGCUACACACGUGUUACAAUGGGGAGUACAGAGAGUCAGGCGUUGGCAACACCGCCUUAAUCAAUAAAGCUCUCCUCAGUUCGGAUUGGGGUCUGCAACCCGACCCCAUGAAGCUGGAUUCGCUAGUA